rnacentral:ncRNA from 11 species
GGAAAUUUUUUUGCAUAGGGUUUCCUUCGAGUGAAGGAAAAUUGGGAACAAGGUGCAAAACCUUGGCUGCCCCUGCAACUGUAAACAGUUGAAACGCCAAAAAGCCACUGAAUCUAUUCGGGAAGGCGGUUGUUUCGAUGCUGUGAGCCAGGAGACCGACCCUAUGUAAUCGUUCCACG